AAGACCUUGCACUUUUGGAGCGGCCGAUGUCUGAUUAGCUAGUUGGUGGGGUAAUGGCCUACCAAAGCUUCGAUCAGUAGCUGGUCUGAGAGGACGGCCAGUCAUAUUGGGACUGAGACACGGUUUAGACUCCUACGGGAGGCAGCAGUGGGGAAUUUUGGACAAUGGGCGCAAGCCUGAUCCAGCCAUGCCGCGUGAGUGAAGAAGGCCUUCGGGUUGUAAAGCUCUUUCAGCCGGGAAGAAAAGGUUGCGACUAAUAAUCGCAAUUCAUGACGGUACCGAAAGAAGAAGCACCGGCUAACUACGUGCCAGCAGCCGCGGUAAUACGUAGGGUGCGAGCGUUAAUCGGAAUUACUGGGCGUAAAGGGUGCGCAGGCGGUUUUGUAAGUCAGAUGUGAAAUCCCCGGGCUUAACCUGGGAACU
rnacentral:rRNA from 1 species